CUCUAGAGCUGGGGAGGGAUUUGUGAAUAUGGAAAUAGAGGAAAGACAUUUUCUUUGGAAUGACUGGGUUUUAUUUUAUUUUAUUUUUAGAGACAGGAUCUCGCUCUGUUGCCCAGGCUGAAGUGCAGCAGAGCUACCAUGACUCGCUACAACCUUGACCACCUGGGCUGAAGCAAUCCUCCCACCUCAGCCUCCCAAAUAGUGAACUUCACCCAGAAACCAACCCGGACACAGAGCAGAGAUAAGGCGGGUGAGAGUGCCUCAGGAGGAAUGUUAACCAGAUUCCAGAAGCCUGCCAGUCAGUCCUGCUAGUCAGGAUCUUACUCUGUUGCUGAGGCUGGAGUGCAGUGGUGCAGUCACGGCUCACCGCAGCUUCAACCUUCUGGACUCGAGUGAUUCUCCCACCUCAGCCUCCCCAGAAGUUGAGACCACAGGUAUGUGCUGCUGUACCUGGCUUUUUUUUUUUUUUUUUUUUUGGCGGAGAAGGGGUCCUGCUAUAUUGCCCAGGCUAGUCUCAUACUCCUGGCCUCAAGUGAUCCUCCUGCCUUGACCUCCCAAAGUGCUGGGAUUACAAGCAU
rnacentral:lncRNA from 1 species